rnacentral:rRNA from 1 species
UACGUAGGGGGCUAGCGUUGUCCGGGUUUAUUGGGCGUAAAGAGCGUGUAGGCGGCCAGGUAGGUCUGGUGUGAAAACUCGAGGCUUAACCUCGAGAUGUCAUCGGAAACCAUUUGGCUAGAGUCCGGAAGAGGAGAGUGGAAUUCCUGGUGUAGCGGUGAAAUGCGCAGAUAUCAGGAAGAACACCCGUGGCGAAGGCGGCUCUCUGGGACGGUACUGACGCUGAGACGCGAAAGCGUGGGGAGAGAACAGG